AACGAACGCUGGCGGCAGGCCUAACACAUGCAAGUCGAGCGAGCAUUUCGGUGCUAGCGGCGGACGGGUGAGUAACGCGUGGGAACGUGCCCUUUUCUGCGGAAUAGUCCUGGGAAAGUGGGGGUAAUACCGCAUACGCCCUUUUGGGGAAAGAUUUAUCGGAGAAGGAUCGGCCCGCGUUGGAUUAGGUAGUUGGUGAGGUAAUGGCCCACCAAGCCGACGAUGCAUAGCUGGCUUGAGAGGAUGAUCAGCCACACUGGGACUGAGACACGGCCCAGACUCCUACGGGAGGCAGCAGUGGGGAAUCUUAGACAAUGGAGGCAAACCUAAUCAAGCCAUGCCGCGUGAGUGAUGAAGGCCUUAGUGUUGUAAAGCUCUUUCAGCUGGGAAGAUAAUGACGGUACCAGCAGAAGAAGCCCCGGCUAACUCCGUG
rnacentral:rRNA from 1 species